GGAUUAGAUACCCUGGUAGUCCACGCCGUAAACGAUGUGUGCUAGUUGUCAGGCCCAAAGGGUUUGGUGACGGAGAGAAAUCAUUAAGCACACCGCCUGGGGAGUACGGCCGCAAGGUUAAAACUCAAAGGAAUUGACGGGGACCCGCACAAGCGGUGGGGCAUGUUGUUUAAUUCGAAGCAACGCGAAGAACCUUACCCACUCUUGACAUCCUGAUCGCGGUUUUCCGAGAGGAAUUCCUUCAGUUCGGCUGGAUCAGUGACAGGUGCUGCAUGGCUGUCGUCAGCUCGUGUCG
rnacentral:rRNA from 1 species